AAUAAGAGGAAUUAGAGUACCCCAAAAGUGUUAAGAUCUAUGAAUCUGUCUGUCCAUUCCCGGCCCUCUCGUGGGUCUCACGCGGCACAGCCAAAUUAAAGAAUCAAAAAGGGAAUAAUAGGCCAUGGGUCCGUAAGUUUUAUAUAAUCACAAAUAAGGAUAUAAUUUUCAACUUUUUUUAUAUAGAUCUUUUUGUUUCUAUAUUUUAUUUUCAUAAAAGUUAGGAGACUAAAGCAAAAAAGAAGAAAUAAUAAUAAUAAAAUAACUCUACCUCUCUAAGGGAUGGCAAAACUAAUAAACAAAUAUAAUCCGAAUCGAAUCUUAAUCGAAUUGAAUCAAAACUCCACUGAUUCAAAUUUGAUUUGUUUAUUAAAUGAAUUACGAUAUCAAAAUUCAGAUUUGAUUUGUUUAUUAUAUGAAAAUUCGCUUUGAUUCGUUUAAUUUAUUUAGUAGAAUUAAUAUAUGAAUCCAAUCGAAUAUAGAUUCGCUUAUCUCAUAAUAAACAAAUCCAUAACGAAUCGAAUUGAAUAUGAAUUUGUUUACAAAUGCUUUAAAUAAAUUUGUUACCGAUCAGGAGAAAAUGACGACGGAUCAGACGAAACUAUCUCGAUGAUCAACGAUUCAAGACUCGAGUUGAGAGAUUUCUAGCUAACAAAUAAUCGGCGGCAGCAAGUAACACAACCCAUGAAAGUGUUCUUUUGUUUCGCGCCCUCCAGCACUUGUGGCUGUGAAGAGGAGGAGGCUUUUGGCUUUGAGCGAUGAAGAAGAAGAGGAAGAAGUUGUUCUGAAGAAGAAGAGUUAUAAGAGGAAGCUAGUAAAUGAUUUUGACAGAUUUGUGCUGCUGCUGAUGAUUUGAUUGGAGUGACAAUGAAAAGCAAGUUACUAAAAGGAGAUGAUGAGAAGGAAGUGAGUCUGAAUCCUGCAAAGACCACCAAAAACACCAAGAAUGUGAAGAUUGAUAUUAGAACUUCUCCAAGAUAAGCUAAGCGUAAAUAAAAAAUGAAUUGAAUUUGUUUGAUCUUUUAUUACUAGUAAAGGGUGGAUAAAAAUUAAGUCAAAUUAUGCCUGCCCUCGCUUAUAUAUUUU
rnacentral:lncRNA from 1 species